CCUACGGGUGGCUGCAGUGGGGAAUAUUGGGCAAUGGGCGCAAGCCUGACCCAGCAACGCCGCGUGAGGGAAGAAGGCUUUCGGGUUGUAAACUUCUUUUCUGAGGGACGAAGAAAGUGGCGGUACCUCAUGAAUGAGCCGCGGCUAACUAAGUGCCAGCAGCCGCGGUAAUACGUAGGUGGCAAGCGUUAUCCGGAUUUAUUGGGUGUAAAGGGCGUGUAGGCGGGAAAUCAAGUCAGAUGUGAAAACUCAGGGCUCAACCCUGAGCCGGCAUUGGAAACUGUUUUUCUUGAGUGCUGGAGAGGCAAUCGGAAUUCCGUGUGUAGCGGGGAAAUGCGCAGAGAUACGGAGGAACACCAGUGGCGAAGGCGGAUUGCUGGACAGUAACUGACGCUGAGGCGCGAAAGCGUGGGGAGCAAACAGGAUUAGAUACCCCAGUAGUC
rnacentral:rRNA from 1 species